UGGGGAAUAUUGGACAAUGGGCGAAAGCCUGAUCCAGCCAUGCCGCGUGUGUGAAGAAGGCCUUUUGGUUGUAAAGCACUUUAAGUGGGGAGGAAAAGCUUGUGGUUAAUACCCAUAAGCCCUGACGUUACCCACAGAAUAAGCACCGGCUAACUCUGUGCCAGCAGCCGCGGUAAUACAGAGGGUGCAAGCGUUAAUCGGAAUUACUGGGCGUAAAGCGCGCGUAGGUGGUUAUUUAAGUCAGAUGCGAAAGCCCCGGGCUUAACCUGGGAACUGCAUCUGAUACUGGAUAACUAGAGUAGGUGAGAGGGGAGUAGAAUUCCAGGUGUAGCGGUGAAAUGCGUAGAGAUCUGGAGGAAUACCGAUGGCGAAGGCAGCUCCCUGGCAUCAUACUGACACUGAGGUGCGAAAGCGUGGGUAGCAAACAGGAUUAGAUACCCUGGUAGUCCACGCCGUAAACGAUGUCUACCAGUCGUUGGGUCUUUUAAAGACUUAGUGACGCAGUUAACGCAAUAAGUAGACCGCCUGGGGAGUACGGCCGCAAGGUUA
rnacentral:rRNA from 1 species